UUGAACGCUGGCGGCAUGCUUUACACAUGCAAGUCGAACGGCAGCGGGGGCUUCGGCCCGCCGGCGAGUGGCGAACGGGUGAGUAAUGCAUCGGAACGUACCCAGUCGUGGGGGAUAACUACGCGAAAGCGUAGCUAAUACCGCAUACGCCCUGAGGGGGAAAGCGGGGGACCUUCGGGCCUCGCGCGAUUGGAGCGGCCGAUGUCGGAUUAGCUAGUAGGUGAGGUAAAGGCUCACCUAGGCGACGAUCCGUAGCUGGUCUGAGAGGACGACCAGCCACACUGGAACUGAGACACGGUCCAGACUCCUACGGGAGGCAGCAGUGGGGAAUUUUGGACAAUGGGCGAAAGCCUGAUCCAGCCAUACCGCGUGAGUGAAGAAGGCCUUCGGGUUGUAAAGCUCUUUCAGCCGGAAAGAAAUUGCUUCUAUUAAUACUAGGAGUAGAUGACGGUACCGGAAGAAGAAGCACCGGCUAACUACGU
rnacentral:rRNA from 1 species